UACGAAGGGGGCUAGCGUUGCUCGGAAUUACUGGGCGUAAAGCGCACGUAGGCGGCUUUCUAAGUCGGGGGUGAAAUCCUGGAGCUCAACUCCAGAACUGCCUUUAAGACUGCAUCGCUCGAAUCAUGGAGAGGUCAGUGGAAUUCCGAGUGUAGAGGUGAAAUUCGUAGAUAUUCGGAAGAACACCAGUGGCGAAGGCGACUGACUGGACAUGUAUUGACGCUGAGGUGCGAAAGCGUGGGGAGCAAACAGG
rnacentral:rRNA from 1 species